rnacentral:rRNA from 1 species
UGGGGAAUCUUGCGCAAUGGGCGAAAGCCUGACGCAGCCAUGCCGCGUGAAUGAUGAAGGUCUUAGGAUUGUAAAGUUCUUUCGCCUGUGACGAUGAUGACGGUAACAGGAGAAGAAGCCCCGGCUAACUUCGUGCCAGCAGCCGCGGUAAUACGAAGGGGGCUAGCGUUGUUCGGAAUUACUGGGCGUAAAGCGCGCGUAGGCGGCUUUGCAAGCCAGAGGUGAAAUGCCUGAGCUCAACUUAGGAAUUGCCUUUGGGACUGCGAGGCUUCGAGGACUGGAGAGGUGAGUGGAAUUCCCAGUGUAGAGGUGAAAUUCGUAGAUAUUGGGAAGAACACCAGUGGCGAAGGCGGCUCACUGGCCAGUUUCUGACGCUAAAGUGCGAAAGCGUGGGGAUCAAACAGG